CCUACGGGUGGCAGCAGUGAGGAAUAUUGGUCAAUGGACGAGAGUCUGAACCAGCCAAGUAGCGUGAAGGAUGACUGCCCUAUGGGUUGUAAACUUCUUUUAUAAAGGAAUAAAACGAGGCACGUGUGCCUUUUUGCAUGUACUUUAUGAAUAAGGAUCGGCUAACUCCGUGCCAGCAGCCGCGGUAAUACGGAGGAUCCGAGCGUUAUCCGGAUUUAUUGGGUUUAAAGGGAGCGUAGAUGGGUUGUUAAGUCAGUUGUGAAAGGUUGCGGCUCAACCGUAAAAUUGCAAUUGAUACUGGCAGUCUUGAGUACAGUUAAGGUAGGCGGAAUUCGUGGUGUAGCGGUGAAAUGCUUAGAUAUCACGAAGAACCCCGAUUGCGAAGGCAGCUUACUAAACUGUGACUGACAUUGAUGCUCGAAAGUGUGGGUAUCAAACAGGAUUAGAUACCCCUGUAGUC
rnacentral:rRNA from 1 species